GAACGCUGGCGGCAUGCCUUACACAUGCAAGUCGAACGGCAGGCACGGGAGCAAUCCUGGUGGCGAGUGGCGAACGGGUGAGUAAUAUAUCGGAACGUGCCCGGUCGUGGGGGAUAACGUAGCGAAAGCUACGCUAAUACCGCAUACGAUCUAUGGAUGAAAGCGGGGGAUCGCAAGACCUCGCGCGAUUGGAGCGGCCGAUAUCAGAUUAGGUAGUUGGUGAGGUAAAGGCUCACCAAGCCGACGAUCUGUAGCUGGUCUGAGAGGACGACCAGCCACACUGGGACUGAGACACGGCCCAGACUCCUACGGGAGGCAGCAGUGGGGAAUUUUGGACAAUGGGCGCAAGCCUGAUCCAGCAAUGCCGCGUGCAGGAUGAAGGCCUUCGGGUUGUAACUGCUUUGUACGGAACGAAACGGUGAGCUCUAAUACAGUUUGCUAAUGACGGUACCGUAAGAAUAAGCACCGGCUAACUACGUG
rnacentral:rRNA from 1 species